UACGUAGGCAGCGAGCGUUGUUCGGAGUUACUGGGCGUAAAGGGUGCGCAGGCGGUGGAGCAAGUCUGUUGUGAAAUCUCCCGGCUUAACCGGGAGGGUGCGGCGGAAACUGUUCUGCUGGAGUGAGGGAGAGGCAAGCGGAAUUCCUGGUGUAGCGGUGAAAUGCGUAGAUAUCGCUUGGAACGCCGAAGGUGAAAACAGGCUGCUGGGGUUGCGCCGGACGCUGAGACACGAAAGCCAGGGGAGCAAACGGGG
rnacentral:rRNA from 1 species